rnacentral:rRNA from 1 species
CAGAGGUGGCAAGCGUUGUUCGGAAUUACUGGGCGUAAAGGGCGCGUAGGCGGCCAUCUAAGUCAGACGUGAAAUCCCCCGGCUUAACCUGGGAACUGCGUCUGAUACUGGAGGGCUCGAGUUUGGGAGAGGGAUGUGGAAUUCCAGGUGUAGCGGUGAAAUGCGUAGAUAUCUGGAGGAACACCGGUGGCGAAGGCGGCAUCCUGGACCGACACUGACGCUGAGGCGCGAAAGCUAGGGGAGCAAACGGGAUUAGAUACCCCGGUAGUCCUAGCCCUAAACGAUGAAUGCUUGGUGUGGCGGGUAUCGAUCCCUGCCGUGCCGAAGCUAACGCAUUAAGCAUUCCGCCUGGGGAGUACGGUCGCAAGGCUG